UUCAUAUCACUCAGUCGUUGAUUAGCGCCAAGCGCGGUUUCCUCGAUCGAUAAGAUGGAGAAUGUCGAAAAUAGAUCCUAUCAGACGAAAAGGUUGAGACAUCUGCUGUGCCUCGCCAGCCUCGAAGAGAUGCUCCAGCCUUAACAGAAUUGUACCAUCUUUCCAUGGCUCUAGCGUAAGAAUGUGCACGUUCAGUGGCAAUAAUUUAUUAAGCCCCGACGUCUACGAAAUGAAUUUUAAUCAACAAACAUUACGUCUAGAUAGCCCUCGCACAAAAUAGUUACUAAGUGGCGUAAAACAAAUCUCGACAAACUAUUCAUCGGACUGUUCAAAAUAGGAGAUUUACUGUAAACCUUGCAAAUUGUCUGCCGAGCUUUGUGUUUUAUAUUAGUUGUAAAAUAACCAUAAUUGUUAGUGACGGGAGCACCUAAGAUCCAAGGAUGUAGGGCCAAUUUGAGGACCUUCGCCAUAUGCAGAUUCAUUUAACGCUUCGCCGACGCCAAACGCAUCAUCCUUCAGGAGUCUUCGAUGAAGCUGAAAGAAAUAUCGUUUAUUAUAAGCCGUCAUCCAUGCUGCUUCCACCUUGGGCACGAUCGGUCAAGACAUUCAACUUCAGUUGCUUCUCUUCGUCUUUGAUGACAAUUUUAUUAGUCACCGGAUAAUAAUUCCCAGCUACCGGCUCGUGCAACUCCAGAUCCCACGUAUCGGUCCAAUCAGCCAAUUGAACUCAACUUGCUCCUCUUCUGAAUAAAUUCGGACUACUUGACUCAUCCAUUCGUUUACCGUCAGAUGAAGUUCUUCCACAACCGGACCUGACAGAGAGAAAGUAGAUGAAUUUUACGAUAAAAGAUAUAUUUAAGAGUGCUAUGGACACAUAUAGGACGAGUGAACAAUACCUUUGUAGAUUUGGUACGUCCCGGUAUAGUCAAAAUUAUUGACUGAUGCGUUUUUAGGCCUGAAGAUAUACGCGCCG